rnacentral:rRNA from 1 species
AGCGAACGCUGGCGGCAGGCUUAACACAUGCAAGUCGAACGGGCGUAGCAAUACGUCAGUGGCAGACGGGUGAGUAACGCGUGGGAACGUACCUUUUGGUUCGGAACAACCCAGGGAAACUUGGGCCAAUACCGGAUAAGCCCUUACGGGGAAAGGAUUUAUCGCCGAAAGAUCGGCCCGCGUCUGAUUAGCUAGUUGGUGUGGUAACGGCGCACCAAGGCGACGAUCAGUAGCUGGUCUGAGAGGAUGAUCAGCCACAUUGGGACUGAGACACGGCCCAAACUCCUACGGGAGGCAGCAGUGGGGAAUAUUGGACAAUGGGCGGCAAGCCUGAUCCAGCCAUGCCGCGUGAGUGAUGAAGGCCCUAGGGUUGUAAAGCUCUUUUGUGCGGGAAGAUAAUGACGGUACCGCAAGAAUAAGCCCCGGCUAACUUCGUGCCAGCA